GCUUAAUUAAGGAGUGAGUCAGGGUGGUGGCUUAAGACACAAUUUCCACUGUGCUCCAUGCUCCCUUCCUCUUCUCUCCCUCCAAUGUUAUUUCAAGCACAUAAACUCACAAGGCUUUGUGAGGAGUGGAAAGAAUGUGGGCUCUGAGCUACCAGACCUCCUGGAAAAUCCCAGCUCUGUAGUUCACUAGCUAUGGGACCCUGAGCAGAGACCACAUCUACUCUGGGUCUCAGUUUCCUCAACAUAAUGUAGGGUUGUUGUGAGAAUGGAAUGGUGUUAAACAUAAAGGACUUUGCAGAAAAUUUGGGGUACAGUGAUGUGCAGUAAGGACUAAGAGUGCCUUUGGUUUGGGUCUGUGUGCCCUCAUUCUUACCCUUCAAGAUGUAGAUGGCAGGGUCAUUUUGAUAGAGGUCUCCAGCAGAUUCUGGGAACGGUUUUCUCUUUCCUUCUUCCUGGUUGGCUAUUGUGGAUCAUUCCUGCAAAAUUACUUUCUGUGGUUCUCCAGGGCUGGAGGGCAUAGCUCAAUUGCUCUUGAAACUAAACCCUUUCACAACUUCCUGGGCAGCUGCCAGACCCUGGUGCUAGCAGGACUACAUGGGCCAGGUUUCUGCUUUGAGGAUUUUACUGAAUUGUACAGACACACAGUCUCAGGUCUUUUUUCUUAUCAACUCUUUGGUGACAUGAACAGGCACCAGAGUAAGGUCUCUUUACUGAAUGCUCCUGCUCAGAGUUGGUGAAUCUGUGGAAUUUGUUUUUGCUUCCUGAGUUUUGGGUGGGCCUUCAGACUCGGCUGUAGGACUCGCCGACCAGAGGCCCCCAGAUUCUUGUGUGGAGUGCCUACUCUUCCUUCCUCACUCCAUUCCUCACCUAAUGUAAUUUCCUUGGAUUCAGACAAGUGCUAGUGGUUUCCUGCCUCUAGUACACCCAGCCUGCCCCAGACUGGGCAUGCACUGAGUGUGUGCACUCUUUUUAUGAGUAUCCUCUGCUCACUCCAUUCAAAACUGUCCUGUUUUGUACCUCAUCUGCUUGGAGAUCCUCUUCUAGCCUUGGCCUUGCUGUUCUUAGGUGUUAAUGAGUAAAUAUAUGCUAUCUUUCUCAGUAGGCAUAAUGAACCACUCUCCCUCCACCAAAAUAGCUAUAACACAGGGCGCUGAGGCACUGAACUGAGAGUCAUAAAACUCUCAUUCCCAGCCCCACUACUCAGCAGUUUUAUAAUCUUGGGCAAAUCACUUAUUGUCUCUGAGCCACAAGUGUUCAUAUUUGGAAGGGUGGGGCUAAUGCUAAUUGCCCUAUUUCUCCCCACCUACCUCCCCACAGUUCCAUUUACUGUGAGAAUCAAAUAAGAUAAUGCCUGUGAAAGUACUCUGUAAGCCAGAAGCUGUUAUUAUACAGAGGCUACCUAUUAUUAUUAAGAACUGGUUUUCCUGAUUCUUCCAGCUCCCCGAUCCUCUCCAUCCCCUGAGCUGGCUCGAGGCUGGAGAUCUGUAGAAGCACACCUUUGGGGCCAGAGCCUAGAAAUCAUUCUGCUUUGCCUACCAAGGAAUCUUCUUAAUUCCUCUUAUUUAAACA
rnacentral:lncRNA from 1 species